UACGGGGGGAGCAAGCGUUGUUCGGAUUUACUGGGCGUAAAGAGCGUGUAGGCGGUUAGGUAGGUCCGUUGUGAAAACUCGAGGCUCAACCUCGAGACGCCGAUGGAAACCAUCUGACUAGAGUCCGGAAGAGGAGAGUGGAAUUCCUGGUGUAGCGGUGAAAUGCGCAGAUAUCAGGAAGAACACCCGUGGCUAAGGCGGCUCUCUAGUACGGUACUGACGCUGAGACGCGAAAGCGUGGGGAGCGAACAGG
rnacentral:rRNA from 1 species